CUGGACCUCAGCUCAGGCGUGACUACCCGCUGAAUUUAAGCAUAUCAAUAAGCGGAGGAAAAGAAACCAACAGGGAUUCCCCCAGUAACGGCGAGCGAAGCGGGAAUAGCUCGAGCCUUAAAUCUCCGGCGCACAGCCGGCGAAUUGUAGCCGAGAGAGGCACUUGCGCUCGACGGUCGGUCGACCAAAGUUG
rnacentral:rRNA from 2 species